rnacentral:rRNA from 1 species
GACGAACGCUGGCGGCGUGCUUAACACAUGCAAGUCGAACGGAAAGGCCCUGCUUUUGUGGGGUGCUCGAGUGGCGAACGGGUGAGUAACACGUGAGUAACCUGCCCUUGACUUUGGGAUAACUUCAGGAAACUGGGGCUAAUACCGGAUAGGAGCUCCUGCUGCAUGGUGGGGGUUGGAAAGUUUCGGCGGUUGGGGAUGGACUCGCGGCUUAUCAGCUUGUUGGUGGGGUAGUGGCUUACCAAGGCUUUGACGGGUAGCCGGCCUGAGAGGGUGACCGGCAACAUUGGGACUGAGAUACGGCCCAGACUCCUACGGGAGGCAGCAGUGGGGAAUAUUGCACAAUGGGCGGAAGCCUGAUGCAGCAACGCCGCGUGCGGGAUGACGGCCCUCGGGUUGUAAACCGCUUUCGCCUGUGACGAAGCGUGAGUGACGGUAAUGGGUAAAGAAGCACCGGCUAACUACGUG